GGACCAAGAAUCAAGAGUGGGGGUAAAAACGAACCACUAUCUUUUCGACCAUUUAUUUGCAGUUGGUGCUCUUAGCUCUAUCUUGCAUCGUGUGUAUAGCCGUAAUCAGCGUCGUUUCAGCUUCUGCUUUCAACGUUGCAUGCGUAGAGGUUCUCUGCGCUUCAUUUUUACCCCUACUCAUUUCUGAGCUUUCCCUUGCAUCAACGUCAAUAAGGGCGUAAGGCGUACUACAUGCGUAGUAUGUGUUAUAUACCUUUAAGUCUGCGUAAUGAUACUUAACCUCUAUCAAUUUUAAGGUUAAGCUGUAUGUGCCUUGCAUAGACAUUUUGGUAGUGUCAUACAUUUUGUCUUUAAGGUGUACCUAUAAAUUUCUGUGAUUGUUUUUUACGUGCUCUGUUUCCAUCGCCAUAACGACAACAAUGUCGUACCUGUCGAGAAAGGAAAUUGAAGAGCUGAAACCACAGAUUGAACGGGCUGUCAGCAAGUUUCUGGGCUUUGCUGAAUCCUCGAUCGUUACGACUGCUCUCAACUGCAUUGCUUCAGGAUAUGACAGGCGCAAAAGUGCAGGUGCAGUUGAGAUGCAUGCACACUACCUUUUAGAGAGAAGCCCAUGUUCUGUCACUAUAGAGAAAUGGAUCUCACUUUUUAGUACCAUUGUGCGUCAUCAAACAGUGAGAAUAAACAGUCAUAUAAGACUCAAAACAGAAGUUUGCUGAUAAAUUGUCAGCUCUUCUGGAUGAAAAAAAAGCUAAAAAAGUAGCAGAGAAGAUUUUCAUUGUUUAUGAUGACAUGAAAGCAGCUCAUAAAGCAAAAAAGAGAUCUCAUGGUGAUGAUAGAGAUAAAGACAGAGAUAGGGAUUCUAAAAGAUCAAGACUUCGUGAAGAGGUUUCUAGUAAAAAUGAUAAAUCAAAUUCAGUGUCUGAUGAUAAGAUCAGUCAUGUUAUGGCAAAUGCUAGGAAAGAAAUUCAAGAAAGGGCAAAAAAUUCAAGAACUCUUAGAAUUCAACCUGAAGCUAUGGAUACAGUCAGGCCAUUAUUGAGAAAUAAAGAUUCGCUAACUACAAUGGGUCAAGUAUAUAAUCAAGGAUUUCUAAGUAAAACAGAUGCUGAAAAGGCUCAAAAAAUUGCUGCGCUGCAGGCGUCAAUUCAAAAUAAGUUAAAGUCAGUACUACCAGGAAGUACACCAACUGCAGAUAAACCUGGACCCCUGAUUCUUGAUGAAUCUGGUCGAACUGUAGACAUAACUGGGAAAGAAGUUCAUCUCACGCAAGUUUUGCCAACAUUAAAAGCCAAUAUUCGGGCUAAAAAGAGGGAAGAAUUUAAGGCACAGUUGCAAGAUAUAAAAAGCUCUGAGGACUUUCAAGAAACACACUUUUUUGAUAAUCGAAUAGGUGUUAAGCCAGCAGUUCGAGGGAAACGAGCAUUCAAGUUUCAUGAGCCUGGUAAAUUUGUGCAGAUAGCUGAAAGAAUUCGAAUGAAGGCGCAAUUGGAAAAAUUACAAAACGAGAUAAGUCAAAUCGCCAGGAAAACUGGAAUCAGUUCUGCAACUAAGUUAGCUUUGAUAGCUCCAAAAACGGAGGCGCUUAACGAAGAGGUACCAAAUGUCGAAUGGUGGGAUUCUGUAAUUCUCAAUGACGGAUAUGGCGAAGAAGAAGAUGAUAUUAACAAAUUUGUGAAAGUUUCAGCCAUCACAAACUUAGUUGAACAUCCAGCGCAAAUGAGACCACCGACUGAACCAUUGAAGCCCAUAAGCAUGCCAAUUUUUCUGACAAAAAAAGAGCGGAAGAAGUUACGUCGUCAAAAUCGAAGGGAAGCUUGGAAGGAAGAGCAAGAAAAGAUAAGAUUGGGAUUAGAACCACCACCAGAGCCCAAACUAAGGAUAUCGAAUCUUAUGCGAGUACUGGGAAAUGAAGCAGUGCAGGAUCCUACAAAAAUUGAGGCCCAUGUGCGUCAGCAGAUGGCAAAGAGACUAAAAGCACACGAGGACGCAAAUGCAGCUAGAAGACUGACAGCUGAUCAAAGGCGCGAAAAGAAGGCCAGAAAAAUUAAGGAGGAUACCUCGUUAGGGGUUCAUGUUGCUGUAUUCAGAAUCAGAGACCUUGUCAAUAAUGCGUCAAAGAAAUUUAAAGUGGAAACAAACGCAAAGCAACUAUACCUGACUGGAUGCGUGAUGUUGUUCCGAGAUUGUAAUGUUGUAGCCGUAGAAGGCGGUGCAAAGCAAAUCAGCAAGUACAAGCGACUCAUGCUUCAUCGUAUUAAAUGGGAAGAAGAUAUAGUGAAGGACACUGAGAGUAACGAUGUGCCUAACAAAUGUGUUCUCGUUUGGGAGGGCACCACAAAAUCGCGACAUUUUGGAGAUAUAAAAUUCAAGGUGUGCCCAAUAGAAAAACUUGCACGGGAGCACUUUAAAAAACACUCGUGCGAGUCUUAUUGGGACUUGGCAUACAGUGGCGCCGUAUUAGACAACACUGAUGAGGCGCAAGUCUAAGCUUUCAGAUGAAUCCAUUUUUUAUUAAGGCUUACGCUUUUUGUACAAUCAACUUGUAAAUAUAUCGUACUCAAAUGUAUAAGGUUAAGAUUUUUCAACAGCAAAACGAAAUGAUGGGGUUUCACAUUGAUAUUUAUUGCAAAUAGACGCGGUAACUUGUGUACAAUAAUUGUAUACAGAUCCAGUGAAAAACAAUUAUAGCACGACAAGAGUAAAAAAAGCCCAAUAACUGCCGGAAGGUGUCACUCUCGCGGUACCUUUCUAAUGUAGCGCCUCGCGCGCAGUCGAAAGAGGGAAUAACAUUAUCAGGCCUAUUAGAUGUGGAGGAUGGAAAGGCAAGAGCGUAUUCUUCAAGGACGUCGUUGUACAAGUGAAAUCUCUUUCUAUUGAAUUUGUGCACGUAUAAGUCGUGCAUUAUAGCAGCGCGUCGUCGGAAGAUACACUCGAUAAUGCAUGAUGAAUCGAAUCGACGAGUUCUAUUAUAAUUGCGCGUUACUGUGACGAUCAUGUUUCUCGGAGAUGAGAUGAGAUAAAUGUUUUUUUUCUCCAAAGGUUUCGUAGAAAUUAUAAUCAAUAGAUAGAAUAUUCCAGAUGAUGGGCUAUCUAAUCGCGUAUACAUAUCCGUGGCUGAUAGUCAAAAUGACAUAAGAUCACUUUUUGCAAAAAUCGAGAUAACUGUAAUAGAUAUAUAGUAAGUACAAUUUUGUGAUGGCGUCUUCAUUGCCUUGCAAUCAGCUUUGUCUAGAGUUCCCGACAUAACGACAUAUUCGAUACUUUUGUGACAUUACACUGUACACAGUGACAAAUGUAUAAUCUAGUCAUACAUAGAACUGUGUGGACUAAAGUUUAGAACUAGUUUUAAUGGCUUUUUAUUACAUUUUGAUUGUUACACCAAGGAAAAUAAAAAAAGCGCAUACGGAUUUAGAAUUUAUUAUUUUUUAAAAAUUACAUUACAUUUUAAUAAAAUGUAAGAAAUUGUAAAUAUAGUGUAAUACUUACAAACAAUUUACAAUAGCUAUUAGUUAACCACAAUCGUAAAUAUUUUCGAAAAAAGUAAGAAAGUAUAAUUACAUGUUGUAAAAUGUAAGAAAAUCUAAGAAAAAUUGAUGAAAUCAGCACUUUGCGAUAUAUAGUAAUAACAAAUAUAAGAUAAUUGUAAUAAAACGGGAAAAAGACCCGAAAAUCUUA